rnacentral:rRNA from 1 species
ACGAACGCUGGCGGCAUGCCUAACCCCUGCAAGUCGAACGAUUGCCUUCGGGUGAUAGUGGCGCACGGGUGCGUAACGCGUGGGAAUCUGCCCUUAGGUUCGGAAUAACAGCUGGAAACGGCUGCUAAUACCGGAUGAUAUCGCGAGAUCAAAGAUUUAUCGCCUGAGGAUGAGCCCGCGUUGGAUUAGGUAGUUGGUGGGGUAAAGGCCUACCAAGCCGACGAUCCAUAGCUGGUCUGAGAGGAUGAUCAGCCACACUGGGACUGAGACACGGCCCAGACUCCUACGGGAGGCAGCAGUGGGGAAUAUUGGACAAUGGGCGCAAGCCUGAUCCAGCAAUGCCGCGUGAGUGAUGAAGGCCCUAGGGUUGUAAAGCUCUUUUACCCGGGAAGAUAAUGACUGUACCGGGAGAAUAAGCCCCGGCUAACUCCGUG